UACGUAGGGUGCAAGCGUUGUCCGGAAUUAUUGGGCGUAAAGAGCUCGUAGGCGGUCUGUUACGUCCGCUGUGAAAACCCAGGGCUUAACCCUGGGCUUGCAGUGGAUACGGGCAGACUAGAGGCAGGUAGGGGAGAAUGGAAUUCCCGGUGUAGCGGUGAAAUGCGCAGAUAUCGGGAAGAACACCCGUGGCGAAGGCGGUUCUCUGGGACGGUACUGACGCUGAGACGCGAAAGCGUGGGGAGCGAACAGG
rnacentral:rRNA from 1 species